rnacentral:rRNA from 1 species
AUAUAUGGAGAGUUUGAUCCUGGCUCAGGGUGAACGCUGGCGGUAUGCCUAAGACAUGCAAGUCGCACGGACUGUUUUUGCAGUUAGUGGCGGACGGGUGA